rfam:Cryptosporidium parvum Iowa II chromosome 4, whole genome shotgun sequence.
GCUUCCGUGGCUUAGUCGGUUAUAGCAUUCGGCUGUUAACCGAAGGGUCGACGGUUCGAUUCCGUCCGGGAGCG